GAGAUUGUCAAUAGAGGUAUUAAAUAUCCCAAAGGAGAAGUUUCAAUUGAAAUGAGGAGCCCUAAACUAGUGCUCAUUUGUGGAAGGAAGAAAAAUAAAAUUGGAAAGUUUUCAGAUGAAGAUUAAAAUGCUUACAUUCCAGAAGCCAAGGUUUGGAAUCUCUCUGAUGUUGAAAGAAGUCUGGAAAAGCCUCAGAUUACAGUGAAGAUAUAGCUUCGAGUGCCAUUGAGAGGAGCGCAUGUACGGAAAAUGCUUUUGUUGGUUCAACAUGUAACUUCUCAGAAAGGUUUUCAAGUUGAUUCACCAUUCACAUGUGCUUAUUGCUUGACAACAGGAAAAAUCAGUCCAGAAGUUUUUCCUGCAUAUGGGUAUUAAUACAGCACAUGAUCCAUUUCAUUUGUUGGAACAGGACAAUAAAUCUGUGAAACUGAGCUAGUAAAAACCAGCUGUGGGAGUUCUACUUUGCAAAAAAAAAAAAAAAAGUGAUUAGUGAAUAGAAAUCUCAAAAUACUAAG